rnacentral:rRNA from 1 species
GCGUCUCCUUCAGCCACAACCGACCACAAGAUCUGUUGCCGCCGCCCAGUCCAAGGACCCGGGCCACCGGAGUCCAUCUCCACCGGCAUGGCAUCCCAACGCCAGGCCAAAGUCGCUGUGCAAGGCGUGCGGGAUCCGGUACCGGAAGAGGCGGCGGGUGGCCAUGGGGCUCGACCCGGAGGCCAAGAGGAAGCCCAAGAGGGACGACAACGCCCUAUCCAAGGCUGCCGCAGCUGCAGCCGCAGCCACAGCCGAGGCCUCUACCCAGGAGGAGGACAAGGCCGGCGACGACGACAAGGCCGGCGAGGAGAAGGCCAGCACCAAGAAGACCAAGACGACCACAAAGACGACGCACACAGUUGAGCUCCACAUGGUGGGGUUCGCCAAGGACGCCGUGCUCAAGCAGCGACGCCGCAUGCGGAGGAAGCCGUCGUGCCUGGGCGAGGAGGAGCGGGCCGCCAUACUCCUCCUGUCGCUCUCAUCAGGUGUAAUAUACGCCUGA